rnacentral:tRNA from 1 species
GGGCUAUUAGCUCAGCGGUAGAGCGCGCCCCUGAGCUGCGCCAAGGAAAAGAAUAGAAUAGAAGAAAGACU